rnacentral:rRNA from 1 species
AGUGAACGCUGGCGGUAGGCCUAACACAUGCAAGUCGAACGGCAGCACAGUAAGAGCUUGCUCUUACGGGUGGCGAGUGGCGGACGGGUGAGGAAUACAUCGGAAUCUACUUUUUCGUGGGGAUAACGUAGGGAAACUUACGCUAAUACCGCAUACGACCUACGGGUGAAAGCAGGGGAUCUUCGGACCUUGCGCGAUUGAAUGAGCCGAUGUCGGAUUAGCUAGUUGGCGGGGUAAAGGCCCACCAAGGCGACGAUCCGUAGCUGGUCUGAGAGGAUGAUUCGCCACACUGGAACUGAGACACGGUCCAGACUCCUACGGGAGGCAGCAGUGGGGAAUAUUGGACAAUGGGGGCAAGCCUGAUCCAGCCAUACCGCGUGGGUGAAGAAGGCCUUCGGGUUGUAAAGCCCUUUUGUUGGGAAAGAAAAGCAGCAGGUUAAUACCCCGCUGUUCUGACGGUACCCAAAGAAUAAGCACCGGCUAACUUCGUG